rnacentral:rRNA from 1 species
UACGAAGGGGGCUAGCGUUGCUCGGAAUCACUGGGCGUAAAGCGCACGUAGGCGGACUCUUAAGUCGGUGGUGAAAUCCUGGAGCUCAACUCCAGAACUGCCUUUGAUACUGAAGAUCUUGAGUUCGGGAGAGGUGAGUGGAACUGCGAGUGUAGAGGUGAAAUUCGUAGAUAUUCGCAAGAACACCAGUGGCGAAGGCGGCUCACUGGCCCGGUACUGACGCUGAGGUGCGAAAGCGUGGGGAGCAACAGG